GCCUGAAGCCACACUCCUGAGGCACGGUGCUAGAUCUCAGAGCUAAACAUGGCCUGGCCGGGUCACUACUUGGAUGAGAAACCCCCAAGAGAACCCAGGAGCUGCAGGAA
ensembl:rRNA 5S_rRNA 5S ribosomal RNA